CAGUCGCCGCGGUAAUACGAAGGGUGCAAGCGUUGUUCGGAUUUACUGGGCGUAAAGCGCACGUAGGCGGAUCGAUCAGUCAGGGGUGAAAUCCCAGAGCUCAACUCUGGAACUGCCUUUGAUACUGUCGAUCUGGAGUAUGGAAGAGGUGAGUGGAAUUCCGAGUGUAGAGGUGAAAUUCGUAGAGAUCUGGAGGAAUACCGGUGGCGAAGGCGGCCCCCUGGACAAAGACUGACGCUCAGGUGCGAAAGCGUGGGGAGCAAACAGGAUUAGAUACCCGUGUAGUCCCUGUCUCUUAUAC
rnacentral:rRNA from 1 species